rnacentral:lncRNA from 1 species
UUAUUUCUCAAGUGCUAUUAUAAACAACCUUGAUGAGGCCAGAAUCGAGUUCACAGCAGAAUGAGAUCUUCAACAUCAUGCAUCUGAUUCUUUCUUGGUUUUUUAAACUAUGGCACAUGCUUAAGCUUGAAGUCCCAUAUAUAAUGGCCUUCAUGUACCAAUUGUUUCUGCACAUGGUUUCCAGAAACACAAUCUCUAACUUCAGAAAUAAUUUUGUUCGUUCGGUUGGUAUUAUUGAAUAUCAUAUACCAAUUGGCAGUUAUAUGUAUAUGAUCAUGUGAAAGACCAAAUUUAAAGACAGACAUUUUUGUAUCUUUUAAAUUCGAUCCAGGCCAGUACUCCCCGAGAUUAAACUGUGGGGAUUAAACGACUUGAACUCCCUCCAUGCACGACAGAUUGACAGAUUUACAGAACUGAAGAUUGAGCCUUGAGCUUUGGUGGGAGGCCCAAAUAACAGAUCGAUUGGUUUACGUUUACAUCUAAAAUAAAUUAAUCAAUAUUCGCCGUGAAGUAAAUGGUAGGGAUGGCAAUAAUCCCCAGUGGGUAGGGUAUAUGGGUAUUCGACUCUACGAGAGAGAUAUAUGGGGAUAAACGAGUAUUUGUUCUAGUAUAUUCUGUAUCUUUCUAGAUAUUCUUUAUGUGUCUUGGCCUUAUGCCAAUAGGAUAUGUAGUUAGACUAGAUCUAUGUAUUCAUAUUCUUACCAUAUUGAUAUUGUGUAAUUCCCUAUAUAAAGGGCUCCUAUGAAUGAAUAAGAUGAUGAUUCUCUUGCUAUCUUUUUGUCUUUACACUUUAUCCUUCAUCACGUUAUCAUGCACUUUGUUCUAACCCUAGAACUAAUAGCCCACCAUUUUUUUUUUCAAACCCUAAAAACCAAAACAGGAGGUUCUCGGCCCUGCCUCGGCCGCCGCCGUCGCUUCUCGGCCGUCCACUCCGCUGCUUUCUUUUCAUCCGAUUAAGCAUCCAAGUGUUUACGGUAUGUUUAUUUUACAACCCUAAAACUCUUCCAAGUUCAAUAACCUCGGAGGAGAUAAAGUGUUUUCUCCCUUUCUUCUACUCCAUUCUAUGCUUGGGUCGAUGUAUUUACAGUUACCAAAAAUCCCAGAAUUUUAUUCGCGGGUCAAGUGUCACACCCCGGUUCUUAAGUUAUUUUACGGUUAUUUACUUUGGUGUUAUUUUGGUCUUUUACCGUGUUGAGUAACCGUUUACUACUUAAGGACCCUAAAGUUGACUUUUUCUUCCGUUUGAAAUUUGGGAAAACUUCCUUCAUGAAAGUUGUAGAGGACGUUAAACGGAGUUCGUGGACACGCGGCACGCUUAAAACGGAGUUCGUAUGAAGAAGUUAUGGUCUAAAAACGAAAAUUUCUAUAUUGGUAAAAAGAGGUAAAUUCUUGUAGGCUUUAUUUUGUGGGAGUUUUAAGUUUGGACUGGGUCAAGAGGGGGUCAAAGCCCAGCCACUCUCUCUCUCUCUCNNNNNNNNNNNNNNNNNNNNNNNNNNNNNNNNNNNNNNNNNNNNNNNNNNNNNNNNNNNNNNNNNNNNNNNNNNNNNNNNNNNNNNNNNNNNNNNNNNNNNNNNNNNNNNNNNNNNNNNNNNNNNNNNNNNNNNNNNNNNNNNNNNNNNNNNNNNNNNNNNNNNNNNNNNNNNNNNNNNNNNNNNNNNNNNNNNNNNNNNNNNNNNNNNNNNNNNNNNNNNNNNNNNNNNNNNNNNNNNNNNNNNNNNNNNNNNNNNNNNNNNNNNNNNNNNNNNNNNNNNNNNNNNNNNNNNNNNNNNNNNNNNNNNNNNNNNNNNNNNNNNNNNNNNNNNNNNNNNNNNNNNNNNNNNNNNNNNNNNNNNNNNNNNNNNNNNNNNNNNNNNNNNNNNNNNNNNNNNNNNNNNNNNNNNNNNNNNNNNNNNNNNNUUUUUUUUUUAAAAUGCCCAGUCUGCAGAGUUCGCGUGAGGUCCAGCAGGAGACGUCGAGGCAUAGUGACCCAGCUAUCAGCUACAUUUCGCCAGUAGGUUACCUGUUUAAUCUACUAGGAGUUUGUUAGCUUCCGUUGUAUUUUAUUUGAUUUUUAGUAGCUCUGAAUACUAUUGGAAAUCUUAUGUUUGUAUUCUGGCUACUUAUGGAUUGUAGCUGAAGAUUUAUUUUAUUGGAAUAAAAAGUGGUUCUUAAAUUCUUAAGUUAGGGUUGUCCAUUUUCGAGGGAGGUUUGCCGAGUUUCGGUAAAUUUUCCUUGGAGGUGGUCCCCGCAGGAUUUACCUCGGGUUUCAGGGUGAAAUUCGGGGUGGGUCCUGACAUCAAGAGUGUGUUUGAUCACUCUUGUUUUCUUUUCUGAAUUGUGUUUGAUCAAUUCGUGGCUUUUCCAGAUUGUGUAUGAUCAAUCCGAAGGACAAACCAUUAAAAGCAUUGUUUGUGACCUCUAUCGAGUCUCAUAACAGCUUGGUUUUGUAUGCAAGAGCGAUGUAACAUUCUGCUUCUUUGAGUUUUGACGUACUCGAUGCCUAAGGCAAAUCUUCGUUUGGUAUCUGUGGAACCUUUCAUUGGAAAGGAUUAAACCACAUGUUUUGACCCCCAAACUAACAAGCCUAGAUGCCGAGAUUUCACAUCUCAUGCGCUCAAAGUCUUUGACGUGCCAUAUCGACAAAAGCCUUCAAUGACAAUCUGUGCAAAAAGUAAUGACCACAAAAUACUGUGGAAUGCACUCAUGGAGCGUUUCUUGAAACGUUCAUAUAACUCUACUUGUUGAGUUAUUAGUCAAGUGGAUUGCUCACCACCUUAAUUGACUACAUAUUGUCGAUAAUUUUUUGUGGCAUCAUGAUCCAUAAUCUUUAGCGGAUUCGAUCAUUAUCAAGUUCUCUAGGUCCUCCAAAUUGGUUUGGAAUUACCAACGAGACUUGAUUUUGAUCAUAUAAACGGGAAUUGUAUAUACGCUAAUGUGAUAAACUUAUUUGGGAUUAUCCCCUAAUGUGGGGACAACAAUAUGGGUCAUGACAACGGCAGAAAACGUCGUGCCGAUGUCUAGAAAAGAGGGGGAGGUGUCGCCGACUCUAAUAGCAACACUCUCGGUCUAGACACCAUUUUGUCAAAACUAAUCGCGUCAGCUCAUGACAAUGCAACCGUUGUGGAUCUUCGGAUCAUUGGUUCAAGAUUGUCCAGCUCCUUCAAAUUGUGAAUGCAUACAAAAAGGUACGGAAAAUCAAUAUGAGGACAAGAACGUCAUCCUUAUGAUCGCGAAUUUCAAAGAUUCGGAUCCUGCUCUAGCUACCCAUGACUUUGACGUCAUCGGCUAGACAUUGAUUUUCGUUCUAAGCUAUAUGUACUAAGGCGUUGUAUCGACGUCCUUCGUCUAUUUGAGACCUCGAUGUACACACAUUAGCAAUAAUGAAUGUCUUGAGAAUUUUUUCAAAGUUAUGAAAUUAUUCUCCUCUUUUGGUUCGUAUUGAUUUACAAACAAGAUGUACAUUUUUACAUCGUCCUUAGAAGCAUGGCAUAUUUACAAUCUACAUGGUUAGAUUGUGCCGUUUUGGUCUCUUCCAAGUGAAGAUAACGCACGGCCUUGCAUCCUCAAGAAGGAUCGCUAACGUGUUUCCAGUUAAGUCUUCUACCCUUUAACGGAUUUUCCAUCAUCAAUUAUUCAACUAGGCUCAUCCAAGCUCAGUGUGAUGUCUUAGAAUUGUCUGAAAUUAAGGAGAUAGUGGUUUCAAGUGUGUCUCGCUCUAUCAAACCUCCACGGACAUGCCUGGUCAUACUGACUUGGAGUUACCGAAAGCUUUUGAUUUUGGAUCCCUCUACGCUAUUAAACCAAUUACUAUCUUGCAAAAGACAUUGAAGACUUAUCAAAACCGGAAAAUUAUCAUCAUGAUCGAAUCCUCUAGGUCCUCUGAGUUAGUUUAUGUUCAUAUUAGGGAGCUUUUGCUAACUAGUCAUGGAGCUUACGACCUUAGAACGACCGAAAUGACUUGGUUUUGAUCAUACACACAUAACUUUUGGCUAAGGCAAAAGCCUACAUGCCACCUGCAAACUUCACAGCUUCGCACAUGCCAAUUCUGUGAAAAACAGCAAUCUGUCCCUUCUGGACAGUCAACUUUGUUUGAGCUUUGUGAAUAACUUCGAACGAACUAGACAUUAUAUCAUUGAAAAGCUCUACGAGUCUAGUUUUCAGAAAUUUUCACGGUUCAUCCAUAUCUAUUUUAACGAAGAAGUUAUGGCUGUUUUAGUACGCAAAGGUCAUUCUGCGCGGAAAUUUUUAUGCACUCGGGAUUGCAGCUUUUUGUAGCUUCUUUCAAUCCUUCUAAAUGGUUCAAGUGGAACUAUUUACUCGCCUAUCUACUCCUUGUAGAUAUGUCUUAUAGAGACAUUGAGUGCUUCGCAGACAGUGGAACUAUCCACAAUAUUCCAAGGAACCGGCAACUAUCUUUAGAUUUUAUGCCUUUGUAAAUUUUCUGUGACUACAAUGAUUGAAUCAUACGGUCAUUCAGGGACAUGGUUUAGCUUGAAUCUUGAUGCCUUAUGGCACCAUGAUCAAUGUCACAGAUACCCUCUAUGCAUUGAGAGGCAAUCGAACCAUGUUGAGCUUUAAAGACAUUCAUGCUAAUAGUUUUCAUUUGAAAACACAUUGUGAGAAUGAACAAGAGUUCUUUUCUGUAUAGCUUCUCAUGAAUACGGACUGAAAUGCAUCUUAGAGAAAUUUAUAAGUCGGUCUAGUGGAUUGUAUGUCACUAUGUUUCGAAUAUCGAAUCACAUGUUGUCGCCAAACAUAAUAUUUGGGACACCGACUCAUAUAGGCUUUGAUUUGACCAAAUCGGUCAUCCUGGAAGAGACAUAAUGAUCCAAAUUUUGAGAAACUCUCAUAGACAUUCAUUCUUCCGCUCAAAAUGAAGACAUUCGGGAUCUAGCAUCACCAUGAAGUCUAGUGGUGACCCGGGGGACAUUGACGUCACCUGAACACGGCUCCAACUUCCCGGAGGCCGUUCGGUCAAUUCCUCAAGCAAUUGAGGUGGGCUUUCCCUCGAUGUCUCAUUGGCCCCCUGCAAUGCUCAUUGCUCGUUUUGAAAGCCUAUUUUUUAGCUAAAUUAGGAGUGAGACCGCCUACGCUAAAUGACACAAAAGAGAAUAUUUCAUUCUUACAUCAAACUACGUAGAUAUAAACAACCAACUUGCGGUUUAUGGUGUUGGUUGAAGUGUUAACACCCCGGUCACAUGUUACACUAUUAUCUACUGCUUAUGUUGCUUAUACUUCUACGGGCUCACUACCCAUUCUUUAAAGAAGUUUAUUGGGAUGUAAGUUGAACUGUCUUGUACCCCAUAUCCACACGCAAUACGGUCUCACCGAGGCAACGACUAAGCAACUUUAGCUUGUCGCUCGAAUAUUAUUGAUGCGCACCAAUCUUUCUAUUACGUCUUGGGGCUAUGCAAUAUUUGCAUGCAGCUUUACUAUUCAUCUAUGACCCACCAUCAUUGAAUAUUUUUGUAUUACAGCUUGUGACUGUGUACGAGGAUUGACACGAAAUUACAAUCCUUGAGCUCAAGCAGGAUAGAAACGGAUCUUCAAUCCUUGAGCUCUGCUAUUAUUUCUAGGUGCCAAAUCGCACUGCCACUGCUUAUAAUGAUUUGUCAUUUGAGAUGAAUAAGUAUUUAUGUUGGAUAUGAACCUCCACCUAUAAUCUGCAUAUGUAGAAACCUUGUCAGGCGAUCUCAUUCACCCAUAAAUUGCGGAUUGUCACUUUGAUGAGACAAUAUUCUCGCCAUUAGGGGGAGAUAAGAACACAAGUGUUCAAGUGAAACGACGUGAAUUGUCGUGGUUUGUCCCCACUAAGUCUCAUCUUGAUCCAAAAUGCUUAAAGUGUUAAAGUAACUAGAUCACAUGCUGCAAAUAUGUCUGCAUUGAUGUUCUACAAAAGGACAUGGCGCGACCAAAAGAAGUUGGUCUUGGCGCCAUCACCAUAGAUGGUGAAAUGAUGACGCCAUAUAAUGGCAAAAUUGGUGUCACAAGGCCGUGUGGCUCCCCAAAAGGAGGGAGGCCCUUAGGUUUGAUAUAUUCUCGCACUAGGAAGAAAGCGAGCUUGGCACAACCUGAUCCAUUGAUCAGUAAUACUCAAAUCCGUCUCAUGAAGUCUGAAUUGUGAUUAUCGUUGGGGGACGCCUCAAUGUCAAAUCCAAUCCAUAUAGAGAUCUCUACAAGUAUUACACUAGUGUACAUGAGGACGUGGGAUAAUGAGUCUACUAUCGAACCACCCUUCGUUGAUGGAUACCAACUUAGUUGAUUGGCCUAAUGGAAAGACGUGAUCCAACAUAACAAAGAGAUAGGUCCUUGGGCAGGUGAUGCCGACACCGCAAGCUAACCCUAUCAACUAUGCCUUUGUUAGAUAGCGUAGUGAGAACAAGAGCUUAGACUCACCUUAUGACCCAAGGUUUCUCACUAACACGCACUGGGAUCGACUACGAUGAGAUAUGCUCUCGUAAUGGAUGUCAUUGAACUCCACUACUUUGUCAGUUUGGUAGUUUCCGAAUAAUUGAACAUGCAGCCUAUGAAUGUGGUCAUAAUAACAUCUCUAUAGGAUCAGAGAUAUACAUGAAGGUCUUAAACAGAUUUCAUUCAUCCGAAUCAAGUGACUCCAAACCACAGGAGCAUGUGUUUGCUAAAUGUAUUGAAACGCACAUGGACUCUACUUGAUUUGGAAGGGAUAUGAUGAAUUAUGCCUUUGCGUGUUCAUUCCGGAUUUACAUAGACUCUUGAUGGAUCUAGAGAUGCCAACAUGUAUCAACAUCCGAAGAAAAAGAUCUUGGGAAAACACGGUCUCGAUAAGGCACUCAAUGACUGUAUUGAUGAUGAUUUUUCAUCAAUCGGUUUAGGCGCUCUAACGAAAGUGAGGCUUACAUAUACUCCCAUGAUUAGUCAAGGUCUUUGCUCUAAAGAGAGAUCUGUUAUUUUGUCUAAAGCAAGAUGACAAAUAUGUGUUAAGAGAUGGAGUUCCCAUCUAAGUACAAUAAGACGCAUCAAUGUACUCAACACAAUACGAAAGACUUGACAUCUCAUUCGCUAUGAAAAGUUGUAAAGCUAAGUGUAGCUAUGCGCCCACGCAAUGCCAAUGUAAUGGCAGUAACUCCUUUUUCAAUACUUAAUGGUAUGAAAGGUUAAGGCUUAUUCUAUCCCUACAUAAGAAAGACACAUCAAUAGCGAAAUCAGAAUCUACCAAGUUUCGUAGGUCAACUUCCAUGGGACCUACAAAAAAUCACACUCACUGAAAAAUGGUGAAAUUGGUACCAUUGGAAAGGUCUAUGUGUCUACUUUCCAGUGACACCAACCAUUUGAUCAUAUCUAUCAUAUUAAGUGAGUUAUGGCCAUUUUUGUAAAGUAGGACGAAUCUGUCAGAGAAUUUGAUUUUGGCAAAACAAUCAACUUCGAUAGGACUUUAUGAAUAGCUCCUGACGAACCAGAACAUGUGUAAUAUACGGUUGGAAAGCUAAAUGAGUCUAGUUUCCAAAUCCGUUUACGGUUCGUUCAUAUGUAUUUCCUAGAGGAAGUUACGGCUGUUCUAGUAACUGAAGGUCAUGCUGUGCGGAAAUCUGAUUUCCUGCACCAACUUAUGUUUUGAGUUCACAAGCGGCUUUCUCCUCAAGAUCUAAGUGUAAAAGAUCAUUUGAGGACAAUACGGCAUGAUUUAGUUAAUCAUUGCCUAAUGCCACAUUUGAAGAUAUGUUAAAGAGCAUUGACAUGCUAAGUUGUUAAAACUUCCGUGAUAAAUAAAAAUCAGGAAGAGCCCUAUGAUUGAUGUAAAGAUCAAGGGGAGGUGCGAACUUCAGGGGGAGUCUAGCACAUACAUACAUGUCGCUAUCAAAUGUGAAGGGUGCGUUGUACUCUUUUUCUCCUACGAUCAAGGUUCAGUUUUUCUCCCACAGGGUUUUUGUGACUUGACGAGGUUUUUGACGAGGUAACAGAUCAGCACCAUCGGCAUAUCAGCGCACGGCACAAGGGGGAGUGUUCUAGUAUAUUCUGUAUUUUUCUAGAUAUUAUUUGUGUGUGCCUUGGCCUUAUGCCAAUAGGAUAUGUAGUUAGACUAGAUCUAUGUAUUCAUAUCCUUACCAUAUAUGUGUAAUUCCUUAUAUAAAGGGCUCCUAUCAAUGAAUAAGAUGAUGAUUCUCUUGCUAUCUUUUUGUCUCUACACUUUAUCCUUCAUCAGUAUUUGAUUUUAAUUUUAUAUUUUUAUAUAUUUGGUAUAAAAAAAUUAAAUUAAUUUAUUAAAUAAUUGUUAACGAGAAUUGGGGCGAGUAUGAGAACGUAAUCCCCAAAGAGGACGGAGACAAGGAAUCCUCAUUAUCUAAUUACAGGGAUUGAGGCGGGUAAGAGGCGGGAUGAAUAAUGAAAUAGGGUAUGUGUAUGGCUUUUUGAUCCACUUACCUUACCAUACCAGCAUACCCAUUGCCAUCCCUAGUAAAUGGUAGGCCUAGUUAGUGACUUGCUUCUCAAGGCAAACGACCUAUUAAAACUCUUGUCUGCAAACCCUAACUUGUUCACAAUUUCAUAUGAUCAAUAUUAUGGAAAACCCAUAAUGGAUAGGUCUGGUAAAUUCUUUAUCUCUUUUUUGGGUAAUUUCAUGUGUGAUUUAUAUAUAUACACCAACACUAGUCUUUCACCCGUGUAAAUUUACACGACUCAAAUUUAAUUCGGUGAAGCUUUUGAGGACCUAGCUUUAUAGUAGUAGCGAUAAGAUGCGAAAUCCUAGUGGCGGAGCAAACUGAGAAUGGGGGACUCAGAAGAAAGCACGAAAUUGACAGGCUGCUUAGUGAUGAGUUUCAAAAAUCGACAGAUAAAAUUUUGAAAUGUCUCCCUCAUGGUGAUGAACGGAUCACAUAUUUAUUUGUUGCUACAAUGACCAAAAAGUUAAGUUCAACUAUCUAUAUAUGUGGUUUUAUUACUUGGUCAAAAGGAUAGGGUUUUUAGCUAUGUAUGGAUAAUGACUUCUCACUUCUCAGUAACCAGCAACCCUUUGGGUGAAUAAUGAGUCGUGUAGCUGUCCCAAUUAGUUGAUUAAGCUCUAGUUCAGGUGUCUUAUCUAUCCUCACUCCCCUCUUAGUUUUGGACCCAAUCAAUAUGACUUAAAAAGUUUGAUAGCAUCAGAGAAAUAUUGCUGAUCGAUAGGAUGAUUUUUCCAGGUAAGAAGCUAGAUAGAUGACUUGUUCUCAUACUAUUGUCUUACGUUUUUAAGAAUUCUGUCCAAUGUUGGAGUGAAUCUUAAAUCACAAGUUUAUAUAUCAGCUUAGUAGUAUUGACAACAAUUAAUAAUAAGCAAGGCUGAAUACCUACUGUUUAGGAGAGGUUUAGAUAGAUGACAGCACUUUCUUGUGGUGGUUUUGGCCUUAAUUGAGUUGGUAGCUUUUAAUCAACUCAUUUCUUGAGCUGAGAAUAAAAGUUUUAACUCUCUCUCAUAAACACCAUGAAAAUGGUUGUGAUAUAGAUUGUAUUUGAGCCUUUCUUUUCUUUUUCUUUGUUUUGAUUGAAGGAGAAAUUUAGGUUGAUCAUAUUUAGGUUUGUAUAUUAUUAUUGUUUUAUUUCCUUUUAUAGUAUAAAAAUUGCAUUAUUUCCAUAUCAUCACAAUUUUAGUAGGGACGAUCAAUGACAUGGUAAAUUCCACAUCAUUUGGUAUUAGUAAUUGGUAUAACUUUUUGGUGUCUAAAACAUUUUCCAUUUAUCAAACAUUACCACAAGAAAUGAAAGUAAUGUCAUUUGUAGAAACUUAAUAAAGAGGGUCGUUUUUAAAUUAACGAAUUUAAAUUUAACUAAGCAACCAAAGAUUAUGUAUGAUUGACCCUUCUGGCCCCCUCUCCCUACGCGGAGUAAAUUCCAACCAAAGAACAAAUCUAGCUCGCAGCUUCAGUUUUCCUUAUUCUACAUCAGUAAGUACAUGGCUAGCAUUGCCCUAUCGUCUUUAGGCACUUGUGUAACGAGUUAUUAUUUCACUAGAGGUUGGGAGGGGGAAGAACCCAUUUCGUUCCUUGGAUGAAGGUCAAGCUUAUGAAGGGUCUUGCUUCUACGUCGCUCAGCAUCUUUGCAUACUUGACUCGUUCGUUGGAGCUUGAACCCGGUCCAGAACACUUGUACUCUCCAUAAUACACAGUGCUGCGCGCAUAAACAAUAUAAACAUUAUGAAGAUCGAUCAUUUCAUUUUACAUACUUCUGUUGGUCAUAUUAUGAAAACCAUGUACAGAUACAGAAAUGAACGUACCUGGCACGCGUAUUGUCGUUGUAGUCGGACCACCCUUUUCUGUCGACAAGGUUCCCCAUGUAUGUGUAGGCAAACACAACUCUUGCUCUUCCCCUCCAAGCACGACCUAGCAAUGUGUCACCUGUCCCUUUUAUGGUGCAAUACACGAACGAAAAUCCAGUAUCGUCCUGCGCUUCUGAUCUACCGUGUGCUGUGAUCACCCCAACUCCAUUCGCGACUGAGUUUAGGGUACUUUUCUACAAUACCAGUUAAAUAUUAUCAAGUUAACAUUUGAACUUCAUCAUGUUCAGUAUGAUAUACUCACUAUAGCUAUGUGUGUACGUACCAAGUAGAGGGAUUUUCCAUUGCCAAAGAUGAAAUCAACAGUGCCUUGGAUGAAGCAAUCCUUGAAGAAAUGUCUUCCCUUAUCGUCACAUAAGGUGUCCUGAAAUCCCAUGAACUUGCAGUUGUAGAAUGCAGCCUUGUCCCCUGAUAUUCUCAUUGCCACCGCCUGUGCAUCCUUCCUUAUACCGUCUGGCAUAGGAGCUGAGUUCUACACAACCAAGCAUCGCAACAAAAGAAGGUCAAUAAUGUUUCUCAACUUUUGUUGAUGGAGACGAUUCUGAUAUAUAGUGCAAUAGUAACCAAAGAAAACCAAGGUAGAUGGAGACGAUUAAGACAUGAUAGAGACUGACGGGAUUGAUUUGAUCUGAUGGGAGAGAGAACUGAGGCAAUAGAGAUACAUACGAUACGACGAAGUAAAGACUCAAUGGUGUAAAAUUAUCUACAUAAAGUAGGUGCAUUGGUGAAUGCAUUAACUUGUGCUUAAUAGUAAAGAGAAAUGAAUCAAAUAAUUAACACAAACAACUUCCCAAAGAUAUUCCAAUCCCAUCAUAUAGGUUAGGGUCCAUCAUUUCUAGGACUCCCAUAUCCCUGACCCUCUAAACCACGCACAAUGGCAUGCAUGCCAUUUUGCUGUCAUAUAUUUCUCUCUAGGGUUUGAUCUUGAAGAUAGCUAGCAAAAUAUUAGACGAGCAAAGAGAAUGUGAAACGAGAUAACGCACAUGCAGAAUAUAUGCAAAGAAUGGAACACAAAACGAAAUCAAAUUUAAGGCAAAGGACAAAACCGCAAUCAUAUAAUGCACAUAACGCUUCACUACUGAACACGAAACGACAUCAAAUUUAAUGACAAAUUAUGGACAAAACGGCAAUCAUAUAAUGCACAUAACACCUCACUACUACAACUCACCACAAACGCAAUAUUCACGGCAACGAAAUAGUCGGACUCCACCGCCACUGUGGCACUGUUCCACGUCCCAUACACCGCCGCAGUGCCGUCGUACGUGAUCGACGGCAUAUCAUUCUUAUCCCCAUAAAACGUCACGAAGGGUUUCGUCAUCUCCACCAGAAUCUUCUCUCUAUACUCUCCCCCACCAAUCCACACCACCACGCGCCGCUUGUUCCCCGUAGGAAUGCUCUUCACGGCGUCCGUCACCGUCUUAAAGUCUCCAGUGCCGUCCUUCUUCACCCUUAUGACUCUCCCUGCGUCCUCAGCCGCCGCAAGCUCCGUGUCAAAGUGCGUGCCGGGGACGUCACUCCUCGUAUUGAGCACGGCCUUCCGCUUGUCGUACUCCCUCAUGUUUCGGACGAUCCAGUCAUCAAGAUCGGCCUCGUUCUCCGGGAUGAGGUUAGGUUUGCCGGACACGAGCAAAGCCAAAGUCAGAAAUGCCGACACGACCAAAACAGCCGAGGUCGGUUUCGAAGCCAUUGGUGUGUUAAUUCUCGACGGUGUAGAAGAAGUUUGAAUAACAGUGUCUGAUAUAUAUGCCAAGAGGAAACGAGAAAAACAACCAAAUCGUUGAGGGGGUUGUUAAGGUUGUGGAGGCUUUCUGGAGAAUACAUAACUGUUGGGAAAUCGAAGAGGUUUAAUAUAUGAGGGGGGAGAGAGACAAAGAGACGACCAUGGUGUGGACUGAAAGCGGAGGAGAGGGGGAGGUUAGUGGAGCAGUUUUGACGCCCUAAAAUCUGGUAAACUAGUAACGAGUAAACUACCAUGAAGCGAAACAGCGUUUGUUUCGUUGGACUUGAUUUGGAAAUAACUGUCGGCGUGGGCCUAUUUUAUCUGUUUCGGUACUGAAUUUGACAAAGGAGCUACAAUUAUGGCCCAAUUGUAAUGAGAAAUCCAUUUAGUUAUGGAAUCAUUCCCAAUUUUUUUUUUUUCUCCAAAGUUUCUAUUAAUGUGUUGAUACUGAUCUCCGUCAAAUUUUCAAUAUCGCUUUUUUCUAGCCCAAGUAAUAAAGGUUUGAAAAUGAUUUAGGACUAGGAUAGAUUAUGAGUUUGAGAAUCAUAAUUUGGAUGAAAUGGCCAAUCAAGCGGACCAAGAAAAAAGCAUUAAUCAUCAAUCAUCUCAAUCAUCUCCAUCCGUUGCGAGAGUUGGGUUAAUCUAGCUGCUAAAUUAACUUUCAUGAGUAGUUUCCUCGUGCGAGUUGAUCAUGUACAUUGAAUUAGAACCUAAUUGGAUUCCAAUUAAUUUUUACUUACCCUUAUCCCAAGACUCAUAUACUUCUAUCCAAUAAUAUGUUGAAAUCAGUAAUCAUGAUUUAGGAAACCCUAAUUUACCUCAUUGCCAGCUCUGAAUGUUUUUGUUAUUAUUAUUAUUAUUAUUUUGUUACCCUAUUGAAUUAAUCAAGAAAAAGAGAAAAACCAGAAAAAGGAAACAAUGACACAAAACUAGGAAAACCGAACUUAAGGAAGACUCAUAAAGUCGCUAUUACCAUAUAACAAAAUGAAUUGGGAGAAUGUUUAUGUUAUUGUACAAAUAGUCAGUUAUCUAUAGACUGAGUGUAAGAUCACCGUUUAGACUUUAGAAAGAAAGGGUUAUCAUGAUUAACCCUCUCGGUCGUUCUAGUAAUGGGCCAGGCGGAUGGGCCUCUGGCCAUGGUUUCGGAUAAAACUAACAUUACGUAAUUGGGCCGAGAAUCGUUCGUCACGAUCUCCACCCACUUCCAAAGAAUGAUCCAAGACUAUUCCAUUUCGUAUGGACCCGCACGUGUAUAUAUGCCUAUGAUUGAUUCUGCAGGCAACAUUCUCCAACUCCGAUCCUCAUCAUUCGCCCGCCGACCAGACCACAAAUCCAUUAUGGUGAUGUUUGAUCGACGACGGAGCCAAUAGAGAGGGGAGACGUACGGCUAGGGUUUGUCCAGCUCCAGCAGCACGUACUGCAUGCUACUACUGUAUGUAUGUCUGUCUAAUUUGAUCUGUCUUAUCCAGUCUAUUCUAUUGCAGGGCAUGGAAUGACUUGCUCCAUAUCUCUGCAUGCUUAUCCUCAACUCCUCAAGUGCAGAUAUCAUAUCAAAUCAUCUACUGGUUUUCACGUCAUAUUAAAUUUUAGGGUAACUUCUUUGCUUCUUCAUCGGCCCUAGAGAAACGGCUGCCAAAUAUGGGGCGAAGCUACAUACCCUACAAGCUAGUCUACACUGCCUAGGCUCGAGCUAGAAGAUACGUCUAUAUGGUGGUGCCUCAUUCAUACCCAAUAAUGAACAAUCCCAUAUAGUAGCUAUUCCGACAUCUGAUGUAAGAGAGGCUAUGCCGGCCAUGGUGUCUUUUCAUGGAGUCGGUUUUUGCUGGCUAGCUAUAUAUGUAAACACCAAACAGUUAAGUAGUGAAGCAGACCUCAUCUCCAUCAUAAGAUAUCAUUAAGAGUGACUAAAUAUAUAUUGCUAAGUGAUCGAGUGAGAGCAUAUGCAACAAAACCUAAAGCAAAAUGUUAGUUAUAUACGACAGAAAUGACAUUUUCCAACACUUUCCAUAUAUAAAUGAUAUUUUCCGAAACUUACAUGUAUACAAUAGCGGUGCAAACUAUUACCAUUUAUGUUUAAUUUGAUUAUCAAAAUGUUGCAUGUUAAUACUGUUUUCGUAUGGACGUGAUCUUUCUCUAAUUUUUCGUAGAUUAAUUCCAUCGUAACAAUUGAUGCAAAGUAAACUUUAGAUGCAAGUAUGCAACGUUAAGACAAGAAAUUUUUUUGAUGACAGUUAAGACAAGAAAUUAGUCGAACAUUAAUAUAUCAUCCUCGGGCAACUUAAUUGCAUGCACCUAGUUAGGCACCUAGGUUCUUCCCUGGUUGUGUAUUUGCUACCAUGAAUUGGCCGGUGACUAUCAAUACAGUAACCAUAUAUUUAAGGAUGUAGAAAUCCAUACAUACAAAAUUGAAAUCUACACACCAUUUUUUUUUUUUUAACACAUUCACAAAAAAUAAAGUUUAAAUCAUUAAAAGACAAAAUCUAAGUUACCAAAAAAGGAAAAAGAUAUGUACGUGAAUUUCAUUUUAAGGUGUGUGGAUUUCACAACCCUAUAUUUAUCAUCGAUCACACUAAGAGUUCGACUCCCUCUGUCGGUAGCCAAAAUACAAAAGAAAUUCAAAUGAAUAACACAUGCAUGGUCUAGUUUUUAUAUGAUGUGAAUAGGUUUAUAAGGUAAGGGGAAGCCACAUGCAAGUAUUUUUGGACUCGCCGAAUCCAUGCCAAUCCAUUUCUAGUAAUAUACAGUAGAUUACACAAUCCCAUUCAUAUUUUCCACCUCAAAAAAAAGAAAAAAAAGAAAAGGAAAGGUCCGGAGGUCCUCCUCUCUUCGAUGCUGCUAUCUCAACUCGUAUGGAGCUCCAUCUGCUUCUAGCAUAUAGAGCACUCCCCUCCUAUGGGGGUCGAUAAGUUCAGAAACGAACACUGUUUUGGAUGGUGGCUACUAACGUGCAAUUCAAUUUGAGAUUGAUUUCUGCAGCAUCACAUGCCAUGUCUCUAAUUUGGUCUUGUGCUUUUGUUUGUUUAGUAAGUAGCUACCAAAAAACUAUUAUGUUUUUCUCGUGUGGAAGAAACCCACCAUCGUCAACUCCAAAUCAGAAACUUUCUGCACGCAUCUACUACAGAUACUGUCGUUGCAUGCAUGUUUGCUCUAUCUAAGAGGACAAAAAUCGAACGCAAUCCAAUAUAAAUUAAUUGACCGAUUAAAAUGUUGAAACCUGAGAUUGAAUGUGUUUUUAAAACAAACCAUAAUAAUACGAACCCAGAUACAUCUUUAGUAGGAACUAAAUUAAAGUACUAAUCAACUGAUGAAUAAUAGUAGCAAGAUACAAAAUUACUUUUAUGAAGGGGUCCGGAUCAAGGGACAUCAUAUUUUACACAAAAUUUGACACACCUUGUGAACCUUUAGAUUCUAAAAUGUUCAAUGGCUCAGAUUUAUUGUUUAAAUGAUGUCAACACUACAUUAAGUGAUGUGGAAAUUACAUGGCAUUACAUAUUCUCAAUAUAAGAUAAAAUUCUAUUAGAAAAAAAAACCACAAAUUAAAAUUUGGAGAAUCAAAAUCAGAAAAAAAAAAAUCUAAACUCAAAAAACAGUAUAAGAAAGAACGACGACUAUUCUUAUCAAUAUUGUAUUAUAAACGAUCAAAAGAGAAAAAAAAAUAAUAGAUGAUCCUUGUGGCAUCAAUUAAGACAAGCCAUUCACUGUACCAAAAAAUGAGAUAUGUGGAAUUAGUUUUAAAGGCUUGUUAGAGAGACUUAUGGAAGAACUUUGAUCAAAUUAAAGGCUCGAUGAUGGAGGGAGUUGAAUUCUUCUUUUCUUCUGGGUUUUAAAACCUAAAUUCAUAUGAAAGGUUAAACCUUGAACCAUAAAGAACGAUUAUUUUGUUGUUAUCUAAUUACAUUGAGUUAUAUUGAAGAUCGACAUAAUCCAAUUAGAUUGGUACAAUAUAUUCAUAGUAAUCUCCUUCAACAUAUUGAUAAAAAGAACUGCAGUCGUUCUUAUAAUGUUCUUCUUCUUCCUUUUCUUUUUUUAUUUCUCUUUUUAGUUUUUGUUGAUUUUGAUUCUCCAAAUUUUAAUUUGUGGUGUUUUUUUUUCUAAUAGAAUUUUAUCUUAUAUUGAGAAUAUGUAAUGCCAUGUAAUUUCCACAUCACUUAAUGUAAUGUUGACAUCAUUUAAACAAUAAAUCUAAGCCAUUGAACAUUUUACAAUCUAAGGGUUCACAAGGUGUGUCAAAUUUUGUGUAAAAUAUGAUGGCCUUUGAACCGGACCCUUUAUGAAGAUGGUACAUUAACUAAUUAAUCUCGAUAUAUAUUCUAACUGAUGAUGUUCAUGUAUCAUGUAUGGACACAAAUUCCAUUUCUUUUAGCAUGCAUUUUUAUCACUAAAUAUGCAUGAUAUUGAACUAUAAAUCUACAUGUGAAGAAGAAAACUUUAUGUCUAAAAAAUUAAUUGUAUGCAUCAGGUAUGAGAUGCUGGAGAAAACCAACUAAUCGUUGAUUAAAUAUAUCCGCGAUUGAAAACACAUGCAGAGGUUUUAACUAUAGAUUUAUUUAUACUGGUCAUGAUAUAAGAGUAACAUCCUUAUAUGAUACAACAUACGUCAAUUCUAAGAUCUCUAAACUAGACUUACGUUUAUAAAAGGUGUUAUGUAAAAGUUACUAGACAUGAGAAUUGUGUAAAGUACACUUUGGAUGAUGAAUCUCAUAAAUUAGUACAAUAUAAACAUGAUGAGCACCCCAAAUUUUAACCCUCGAGGCUUAUGAGUAUUUCUCUGCAGGGUUAUAAGUUGAUCUACUAUGGCUUGAAAAGAUACAUGUAGAAAUUCUAGAGUUUUACAAAGAGAAGUGAAAUCCACACACCCAAAAUUGUAAUCCACACACCAAUUUUCUUUUUUAGUAACCUAAAUUUUGUCCUUGAUGAUUUAAAUUUUGUCUCCAUAUGAGAAUGAAUUACUAAAAAUGGAAAGUUGGUGUGUGGAUUACAAUUUGGGGUGUGUGAAUUUCACAUUCCUUUACAAAUGCAUGAUACAAACUGUACGUAUAUAUGAUUAUUUUAUCUGAAAUCAUGUAAUUAAGUUUAAUUGCAUCAUAUUCGUGUACCAAUACCAUAACCAGUGUGUUCCUUUAUAAUAGAAUGAUAAUGUUUGAGCUAGCACGUUACAAAUUCCACCUGCUCAUAUAUCCAACUCCCACAUGCAACGUUAGCAUCACAAAUCACAAUGAUUAGCGAGCAUUAGUAACAAUAUAUUUGAUUCAGCUCAAUUAAGAAUCAAACCUUAGCAACUAAAAUAAAUUUACGUACAGCCAUUUUAUUAAUCAUCGCUCACGAUAACGAACUAGCCUUAUUCAUAUUUGGAAACACACACAGAUCGAUGAACAUGCCUCUCUCUAUCACAAUGAAUUCCAAUGAAGAUUAUGUCGUGGCUGUGCAUCAUACUGCCAACCACUGCAGCAAAUUGACUCGGCUCUGUACACAUAUUUUGACGUUUCCUUCGUGUUCUGUGGCCUCCAAUGGAAUCAAUAACACCACGAAAAGCUUUUUAUGGCGAAACCCUACCCGCACGUACCCCCACUACAACCCGAUAUAUAUAUUUGCCAUCCUCUCAGUCUCUUAUUCAACUCACUUCAUCAUUAAUUUGGCUUUCACAUUGAUCUGUUCCUUUUCUUUUUCUGGGUUAGAGCCAAACACAUACGUACAAGCUAGACAGAUCAAAGAUGGGAUUGUAAUCAUUGUAUGAUUAUCUACGCUUCCGUUCGCCGAGGGCUGAAGACUUCCUCAGAUCUAACCAUUCACGUGUAUCUACACACAGUCGACUGAGUCGAGAAGUGAAAACUCUUCGAAUAAACAUAUACCGGACUUUUACUUUGAAAUUUCUUAAUUGAUACAUGAAGGAGGCUCGUGCAUGAAUUCGGAAAAGGGUUUUCGGAGACAAAAAUUCCAAGCAUCACAUGGCGUCGUGGAGGGAGGGGGGGUCCGUUCAGGAGGCCAAAUCCGAUUUUGACGAGCCUCCACCCACGUGGGCUGGUUUUUUUAGCUCCGGCUACCUGACGUGGACAGAAUGACUAAAAUACCCUCAUGCUCUCUGUGAUCGAUGCUGCAUGUCCAUCCACCAAAAGACAACAAAAUCAGUGGCAGGGAUGAUUGGGGAUUAUGGGGGCAUCCUGUUACAUGAAAAAAGCCGCGAAAAGCGGCCGUCUUCUUCUGCGACAGUAGCUUUGUCUUCUUCGUUCUUGACGUUUCGGUGGCUCCGGUGGCAUCUAUGUCUUUCAGUCUCCCCCGACUAGGGACGGAGUCAGGAUUCUAAAACCACCUGAGCUAAAUUUAAUUUGAUAAAAUGUAUGAAAAUUAUAAAUUUAUAAUGCUUGUAUUUGCAUUAAGAAAAUAUUUUUGGCUUCUUAACACCUGAUAUUAAGAAGAAGAUCAAUCUAUAAGAGUAUAAGUGAUAUCGAAUUUCAGAAAAUAAUCAGAUUCACAUCCUCAAAAUGUCAAUAUCGACACAACAUGUUUUGAGAAUCAAAUAAAAUUGAAGGAAAAACUAUUUGUUGAAAAACUAAAAAAAUAACAUAAAACAAAAAAUGUUAUAUAUAGUUGAAGAAAAAAAUGGAGACUAGAACUUAAUAUGGACCAUUCCCAAAACAAAAACAAAAAAGGAAGAAAAAAAGAAGAAGAAGAAAACUUAAUAUAAACCAAUGCCUCUUUUUAGAAAAAAUAAAAGGUGGAGCCGUGGAGGUGGCAUAUUCCAAUCCUCAUUUAGUAUAAUAUAGUAGGUUUUGGCUUCUUCUAAAUUUUUUUUACAUGCAUGGGCUAUUGGUUUAUAUACCUGUUUAUUCAUAUAAUAUGAUCUAGUCUAUUUGAAAAUUGGAGAAAAACUGUCUGGGCUACAGCCUAGAGACAGUUCCACUAUAUCCUCCGUCCCUGCCCCCGACCCCGUCUUAUUGCUCGGAGUCAGAUCACUCUGAGUACAUAACUAUAUAUGCUACCGGAACCCUAGUUACUAUAAGAGGGAAAGCGUCAAAAAUGUGGUUUGCUAUAUUUGAGUGAAGUGUACACUAGGUGGUGGUCGAGGUAUAUGUAAUAACAACAAAAUUACUUACACAGUAAAAUUACGUACGUCUUUAUUUGUAAAUGAAUAAAAACAAUGUAUGGUUUGUUAACUAUAGGUUAGGUUUAUAUCAAUAAUGUCGCAAAGGUUGUUACGUCAUUUACAUCUACAAAACCUAUAUGUAGUUGUUGCAUGUAAUCUCAUUCUCCAAUUAUCCAAAACAGUCACAAUGUAGUCCUCAAGCUUUCCAGCCUUUUCUUUUUACUUUUUUGCAUUUCUCUUCAAUAAUCCAUAAAUCUUAACAACGUCAACCUUGGUACAUAUACUGAUAGUACAUAAAAACAUUUCAAAUCGAAUGUUAAUCUUUUCCAUGAAUUAUCUUCCCUACAUGCCAACAUGAUCAUAAUAUAUAAGAGACAUAUGAUUGCUCUGAUUGUCAAAAUACAUAUUAAAAUUAAAAACAUAUUUACUUUAAAAGAUUAAGGAGAUCGAUCUUCUCUAGAUUGGGAAUAUAUAUAUAGUGACAUAUAAACAUGCUCGAUCGAUCACCUUUAGUUUGGAUAAAGUGUGUGGAAGCAAGCUAAGGAUGUCUAGAUAUAUAUGUACCUUUGAGAGCUUUAGGGUUGGCAAUCACAGGUUGGCGAUCGAUAUAGACGCGUUACUGGUACUACCUAAUGAUAACAAACUCGAUCAAACUGUGUCUUCCACUUAAUUUUUAGCAUAAAGUCUUCUAUCAGUUCUCAAUUAUACCUCUCUUUUUUAUUCUUUUUUCUUUUUCUGCAUAUAUAAACCGCCAAUACAGCAAACAAGAAGCUUUGCUAAUUAAGCGUGUGCUUGUAUAUGGACAUAUCGAUGGGUCGCAAAUUCUCCAAAGGCAUCUCUAACAACCUCAUCAUUAGCUUCCUCUAAGAACAAUAUUUCUGACUUUAUACGCUGAUGGAAUAUUGUGAAUCAAAUGUAGCACUACUUAAUUCAUGCGAAAAAUGUUUAAUAUUACUUGAUAUCAAAGCAAACUUUAGAAUGCAUGGAACUAAGGAUUAAGAAAUCGUAUUGCCUACUGUAAAGUUGCUGACUUCGUCUUGGGGUUUCAUAAUACGACAUUUUUCUUCAUGCUACCAACUUAAUUUUACAUUCAUUUUUAUAUGUCACUUUACAAUUAGGUAGACCUCGCUUAAUUUCUUGUAGUUAGUUACAUUACAAUAAGUAGUUAAACCUUUAAAUAUGUUUAUGUAGGUUGAUGAACUGACUUCUUAAUCCAAAAGAAAACAAAACCCUAAAUUUCUGAUCUUUAUAAACCCUAAACUUUGAUAUAUAAUAAGCACUGUUAGCAUAUAAAAGAGAGUUUCUUGUGUGAUAUGUGUCAAGCUCUCCCGAUUCAAGCAGACAGUGUGAGACUCACCGUGAGGUCCAUAAUCAAGGAAUCUGAGAAUACUUAAUUGUUGAAUAGAAAAUUAGCUUGCUGGUAGGCUUUGAUUUAGUAUUCUAAUUGUAGAUUUCUGGGUUAAGAUAGUGAUGGAUUUUCAGUUCGAGUAGAGACAACUCCGACGUGCUACCUAGUUUUCAAUCAGCCAGUCUGCAUUACCACUCAAUUAGUUUAUUAAUCAAUUAAGUCUACAAGCUUUUGUUGUCUUCUUCAGGGAUUUGCAAAUCUUUUCAUAUAUGUAAGGGUUGGUAAUGUCAAAAACAGUUUUUUUUUUUACUUGGCUUAUUCACCAGCUCCAUGGUGAAACAUGCAUAUCUGCAGCUGCAUUGUGUUGUUUCUCAUAAGAAAAACUUAGAGAGAAUUCACAGAGGUAGUAGCAAAUUGGAGAUGAUAGCUAAUUAGCUAGCUAGGUAUCACUUGCAUUGUUUGUUCUACUUGUCUAAAGUCUAAAUGGCUUCGAGCUAUUGUUAUCUGUGUGGCCGGGGACUAUUUGGGACCAGAACAUUAUUGGUACGAAGUACUGCAAAAUGUUGACAUUACUCUUGACGUAUAUAUGUAAUACCUUGUACUCAUAUGCAACACAUUAUGGUUAACCAUGGUGGUACAGUACUCAUAAAAUGAUAAAAUUGAAUUUAACUCGGUAUCACAUUCCAGUAGGUACUGUAGAAUUUUACAUGUAAAUAUGUAAAAUGUUAUCUACCCGUAGAUAUCAGACAAAAUAGAGGAAUUGUAUGAAAAAUAGAGAUCAUUACAUAUCUUUAGAUUGACAAAGAAGAAUUGUACAGAUAGAGCUGAGCAAUGUCGACCAGCUUGAUGGGAGCCUAAGAUGGAUGUGAAAUAUUAUUGGGUUAAAUCGUCCUCAACCGUGCAAUCAAAUCACACUCUCAAUCUUUUACCUACAGUAACUUUUAAAUCUCUUAAAAAAGAAUGUACAAUCCUCCUCUUUCUUAUUCUUCUUUCUCAGUCGUCACUUUCACCUUAAUUUCACCUAGUAGUAGUAGCAGUUACCAUGCAUAUACAUUCCUUAAUCUUUUCUCGAUCAGCAAGCGUAGAACUCGACGAGCUCGUUCAUCGAUUCCGGCUGAGGAUCGGCGUUCUCGAGCAUCCAGAGCAGGUGCUCGAACAACACCACCUCGCAUGCGACAUUGAUUGAGUCGUCGUCGUCGGAUCUCUCUGCCAGCUCCUUGAAAAGGGGGUGGUGGACGACGUCGGGGCCGACGAGGUAGCGUCUUCUAGACUUGCCGACGUAGACGGCCUGAAGGUCUCCAGAGGAGACGACGUCGUUGGAGGAUGAGUAGCUGACGUCGUCGUCGGCGGAGGCUAUGGAGCAGAUGCUGUGGCGGUUGCUUUUGCUGAAUGAGUUCCACUUC